rnacentral:rRNA from 1 species
AGAAAUACAACUUUCAACAACGGAUCUCUUGGCUCUCGCAUCGAUGAAGAACGCAGCGAAAUGCGAUAAGUAAUGUGAAUUGCAGAAUUCAGUGAAUCAUCGAAUCUUUGAACGCACCUUGCGCCCCUUGGUAUUCCGAGGGGCAUGCCUGUUUGAGUGUC